rnacentral:rRNA from 1 species
UACGUAGGGUGCGAGCGUUGUCCGGAAUUAUUGGGCGUAAAGAGCUCGUAGGCGGCCUGUCGCGUCGGUUGUGAAAGCCCGGGGCUUAACCCCGGGUCUGCAGUCGAUACGGGCAGGCUAGAGUUCGGUAGGGGGAGAUCGGAAUUCCUGGUGUAGCGGUGAAAUGCGCAGAUAUCAGGAGGAACACCGAUGGCGAAGGCAGGUCUCUGGGCAUUAACUGACGCUGAGGAGCGAAAAGCAUGGGGGAGCGAACAGG